CGAUUCGAGAUCCUCAGGAUGAGGAGAUUGACCGUCGGAUCUUCGAGGAGGUAGCCAUGUGGAGGUUCUAGAAUAUGUUGUAUAGCCUUUGGCAGUCCACCAUAGAGCACUCUUAUUUUGAGUUACCAUUAGACUGAAAGUUUUACACAGAUCACUAGAUGCGGACAGACAUAUGGGAGGUCCUCUAUGAUCAGUGGAGUAUUGAGGAGUAUUCUGAUAGGCGGCAGAGAGCACGACAGAAUCGAUCCACC
rnacentral:lncRNA from 1 species